UGAAACUCAUGCGACAGAGAGCAAUCAUGAUCUUCUGCUGGUUCAUCUGCAUAGUUGGUUUUCAUGGAGUCUGGUCUGAGAUCAGACUGGACCAGAGUUCCUCUGAGGUGAAGAGACCUGGAGACACAGUCAAACUCUCCUGUGUCACCUCGGGGUAUAAUAUGUCAGCCUACGAUCAUCACUGGGUGAGACAAAAGCCGGGAGAAAGUCUGGAGUGGAUUGGGUGGAUUCAUCCUUCAAAACUCACAACAAAAUAUGCCAGCACCUUUGAGGGUCGCUUCAUUAUGACUCCAGACGUCCCGAGCAGCACUCUGUAUCUGCAGCUCAACCGUCUGACCACAGAAGACUCUGCAGUUUAUUUCUACGCCAUAAAGGCACCGACUGUUUUUCCCGUUCUGCCAUGCGACAGUGGCAACGGGGACAUUACCCUGACCUGCCUGGCCACUGGCUUUACUCCGUCCUCACUGACCUUUGCAUGGACCAAAGGAGACACGGCCAUUACAGACAUCAUCCAGUAUCUGACCAUCCAGAACCGCAAUGAUUUUACUGGGAUCAGUCAAGUGAAAGUACGCAGACCGGACUGGGACAGCAAAGAGUAUUUUUACUGCAAAACAACCCACAAUGAAAAAAAAGGAAUGACUUUUUUCCAAAAACAAGGUGAUUUUUGA